CCAUUAGCACUCAGCAUUAUGUAAUGCCCUACUGGUAUAGCGUGCCUAUAAUUGCCUCUCCCUCAUUAGAUUCUAAUUGCCAUGAGGGUUUGAUAUUUUCAUGGCUACAUCCUGAGCAGUAGGGAAAAGUCUGGAAUGUGCCUAAUGUAUAUGUGGAGAAUCGAUGAGGGGGGAGAAGUUUAGGUCCAAAGACUCGCCUCGCUUAUGGAAACCUGGUGUGACCAUUUCAUCUCAUCUCUUACUUUGGCAGAUUGGCGAUGAAAUUCUAGAGAUCAAUGGUGAGACCACCAAAAACAUGAAACACUCUCGGGCCAUAGAACUGAUCAAGAAUGGCGGCCGCAGAGUCCGUCUGUUUCUGAGGCGGGGAGACGGCUCGGUCCCAGAAUAUGGACCCCAGCAGCGACAGGAACGGCCCCUCCACCGGUGCACAAGGUGUUCCGGAAGUGAGGCUGGGGCCACCGGACCACAGAUCACAUCCAGCCUUGGAGUCCAGUUACCCACCCGAUCUUCACAAAUCAUCACAACAUGCCGAAAAGCGAGCACACGCGAAGGAUCCGAAAGGCAACAGGGAGCACAGCGGACAGCCCAACGAACAUCACACUUGGAACGGAACUUCUAGAAAACCCGACAGUGGGGCAUGCCGGCCCAAAGACCGGCCACCCGACACAUGGAGAGAGGCGCAGCCGGAAUGGACAGCCACCAAUGGCCCAAAGAGGAGGUCUCCGGAGAAGCGCAGGGAAGGCACCCGCAGUGCUGACAACACUUUGGAAAGAAGGGAGAAGCAUGAGAAGAGAAGAGAGAUGUCUCCUGAGAGGAAGCGAGAGCGGUCACCCACCCGGAGAAAAGACAGCUCCCCGAGCCGCCGGCGGAGGUCCCUCGAAAGACUCCUGGAUCAAAGAAGGUCCCCAGAGCGCAGAAGAGGGGGCUCGCCCGAGAGGAGAGCAAAGUCCACCGACAGGAGGAGGGCCAGGUCCCCAGAGCGCAGGCGAGAGCGGUCACUGGACAAAAGGAACCGAGACGACAAAGUUGGCCACCGAGAAAGGGAGGAGGCUGGUCUGAAGCUGGAAGCCGGGAGAAGCCCCAGAAAUCCCCCAGAGCAGAGAAGGCGGCCUUACAAAGAAUGUAGCACCGACCUCAGCAUCUGAGACUCAGAGCAUUGCAACCUUUACCGUGUCAAAGGUUCUAAGAGGAAGGUCGCAAAAUGAAAUAAUUUAGUUUCUUACCUGAGGAAGCAUCUGACACCUGGUAGUCCUAAGAACAGUAACAGACAUUUUAUGCAUCUGAAAUCUUAUAAGGAAAAAAAUAUAUAUGAAAAGUCUUGUGCCUGAUGUAUAAUAUUAAAGAAAGUAUUUUUAAAUGCAUACUUUUUUUUUUGAAAAUUAUUUGCCAAAAUACUGGCCCAAAGGGAUAUAUACAUUUUGUUUCUUCACAAGCUAUAGAGUUGUUCCUUCUUUGGGGCAAACUCUUUCUCUCCUAAAUAAACGGGGCUGUUGGUCAUGUCCUAUAAGUAAAUGCAGUUAAAUUUAACUCAGUAUAAACUGUUUCGAAGUGACGUAGUGCUAUACUGUAAGCCCCUGUUUUUCUGAAAAGCAGAACACAGAAAUAUACAGACUGAGGAUCUUUUAGGAUGGAUUAGGGUGGCCAUUGAGCCUAAAAUUCAGCCAACUAUGGGACAAGAAUACUACUGCAAAUGAAGGAUAUUUAUGACUACAGUGCAUGGCACUAAGAAACCUUAUGAUCUUGAGGUAUAAUUGGUAUAGUCAAAGAACGGUUUGUGCUCUCCCUGGCCCAGAAAGGUGCAGAAACAAGAAGGUUGGCUGCCAUUAACCAAACCCAGCCUUAGCUGAGACGAUCAGGUUCACCAGGUUCCACCACAGAAUACAUCUCACCUGCAGCAGCGCCCAUUGCAAAGUGUCAGCCUCUGGGCAGAGCAGACAAGCUCCUUCUGGGUUGUCUGGUCCAGUUUGAAGCUGAGUAGAUGGAAUGUAGGACCCGUACCUCUGGGAUGAGGGAGAUGUAAAUGUCUCCCACAUGCAAAGAGUACCCUCCCCCCACUAUUUAGCAUAAGCCCCUGCUUGCCCUCUGCCCAGUGGGAGCAGAGGAGUGAACUUUGGUGGUGGAAACCUGUCACGAUAUUUUAAAAGUAUUGGGGCUGCAUAUUCCUGGAAUAGUUGAUCACACACUUUGAAACCAUAAUCCAAGUCCUAAGGAUUGAUUGAAAGGGAAGGAAGAACAUGAUGACGCCUGUGGGUCUUGAUCUGUCUGCUGGGAAAUGACCCUAUCCCUUGUGUUUGGGGACAGCGAAGGAAAAUGUAAUGGUUUUUCUUGCUGAAAUAGACCCAUUUUCUGAACCUCAGAAGGUGUGGUUGGGUCAGUUGUAGCCCUGAGAUGUGGUUUAAAUGGAUUACUGCCUAGCUGAGCCAAAGCGUUUGCUUGUAUCUGUUGGACCACUGCAGCAAACCCUGCUGACAGAGCAUUUGUAUUUCUGUAGUACUGUUUUGCAUUUUCCAUUCAGACACAGAACUGUGCAAGUCAAUCACUGUUGAUUCCCGUGGUACUGUAAUAAGGGAGGGGCGAAAAAAAAAAUAGAAAAGAAAACCAGCCAAUCAUUGUACGUAGAGUUUAAAAUUGUAAUUAAUAGAGCCUCUUUGGAAGAAAAAAAUAAAACAACUGUUGCCUUUUUUUGUAUAAAAGAGAAUUUAUGACAGAAGUCUAGCUGUGAGGAAUGUGAUACGUGUCUAUAUUUCUGAAUAUGAACAGAUUGAUUCUUGGGGAUAUACUUUAUUGUAAAUCAGGUAUGUAAAGUUGUUUUAAAGUGGGACAUUAUAUAAGUAAUCGGGGCAGGUUUCAUUUGUUAGGGCUGUUGUUUCUCCGUGGAGAGACUGCUCAUUUGCACUCUCUGUUCACUUAUUUCUUGCCUCACGCUCCCUCUGUGUUGAUGAAAAGCAAUGUGUGGGCCAUUCCUUUUAUAAAACACUAUGCACAUAUAAAUGUUAACGGUUCAUAGCUUUAUUUGACUUAGGGUUUAUAUAUAACAUUACACUGAGUAGUUAUAGAGUGGACAUUUCUCCAAGUUCUUUCCUUGAAUCAAACAAUAUACAUGCUAUAGCUACAGGGACAGGAGGUCUGUGACUGCUACUUGUGUUAUUGGAGUGCUCCCUACAGAUCAUACACGGAUGAUUGCAUUAAUGCGGAGGAAGACUGAGUCCGAAAGCCAGCUUGGAGGUGUUGCUCUGGAGCCUGUGUGACUAGGGUUUUCCUCACUAGUUCUGGCACAACCUAUGAUGUUAACUGAUGGAUUCAUUCUCUUGAUCAUGGUCUAUGGGUUUUAAACAAGUUUUAAAAAAAAAAAAAAAAGGUUGAUUUUUGGAGUGGGUCCAAAGUUAGCAUCAUGAUAUCUGUCUCAGUUUAAAAAAUAAAGUCAGUGCUACCCAAGUGAGCCUGGCUCAGUAUCUGAGGACUUUUGCUAUGACAAGUUCACCUUAAAUUCAGUACAUCAGAUUUGGUUUGCACUGUAUGGGAAACUACGUGUGGUAAGCCGAAAUCUAGAAUUCUCUUCAAUCUACUGUAGACUAUAUUGGAAACUGAUUCUUGUGAGCCUUCUUCCCCAACCUUUCACUUACCAUAAGAGUGCUGAUGAGGGUUGAGUAUUUUGUAUGGUUAAAUCAAACAAUUUAAGAUUCCCCAGCCCCCAUGACACAACCAAUGCCUGAAAGAAUGUUUGGGGGGUAGGGGGAGUCAAUAGCGUACUUGGAUUUUUUUAAGUUUCUUUUGUGAAAGAUUUUUUUAAUGCAUUUUUACUGUAAAAAUACAUGGAAGUGUAUGCAUUCCAUUACCACUGUU
rnacentral:lncRNA from 1 species